rnacentral:lncRNA from 1 species
GAAGGGUCAGGUUAGGGGUCUUUGGGCCCGCUGACAGGAAGGCUUGCCUUGUGCUUAGCUGUGAGGAACCCUAAUUAACAUUCCUCUCCCCUCCCAGGGCAUUUGCGGAGCCCCCUAUCUCACCCUCAGGGGUCAUGAGGGUGGAGGGAGUGGGGGCACUAGGCUUCUGUAGGCUGGCAGGAAUUGGGCUGAGAUUGGAUUUACCGCACUUGAUCUGGGGACAUUAAAAAAUAAGAAAGCAUGGGAAGAAGGAUGUGGCAGGGGGAGGCAUUAUCCUGAAAGGCAGUAGGAGAGAAAUUGCUACCAGGAUCUUGAGUAAAGUUCGCUCCUGCUUAGGAAAAGUACCCAAGUCACAAAAUGCGCCCCACCGCCCCACAGCCCCAGCUCCGUCCAGGACGCAGCACCUCCACUACAGCAGCCUUGCCUGCAGAUUAACUGUAGAUUAAAUUCAACCACGAAACAAACCAUGCAGGGAUUAAAGAAGAAUUCUUUAAGUGCCUGGCUCAUGCAUCCAAAAAAUAA